rnacentral:rRNA from 1 species
GAUGAACGCUGGCGGCGUGCCUAAUACAUGCAAGUCGAGCGAACGGACGAGAAGCUUGCUUCUCUGAUGUUAGCGGCGGACGGGUGAGUAACACGUGGAUAACCUACCUAUAAGACUGGGAUAACUUCGGGAAACCGGAGCUAAUACCGGAUAAUAUUUUGAACCGCAUGGUUCAAAAGUGAAAGACGGUCUUGCUGUCACUUAUAGAUGGAUCCGCGCUGCAUUAGCUAGUUGGUAAGGUAACGGCUUACCAAGGCAACGAUGCAUAGCCGACCUGAGAGGGUGAUCGGCCACACUGGAACUGAGACACGGUCCAGACUCCUACGGGAGGCAGCAGUAGGGAAUCUUCCGCAAAGGGCGAAAGCCUGACGGAGCAACGCCGCGUGAGUGAUGAAGGUCUUCGGAUCGUAAAACUCUGUUAUUAGGGAAGAACACAUGUGUAAGUAACUGUGCACAUCUUGACGGUACCUAAUCAGAAAGCCACGGCUAACUACGUG